rnacentral:piRNA from 1 species
UUCACAAUGGCAAAGUGAAGUUCACCUCUC